rnacentral:rRNA from 1 species
ACUCAAAUGAAUAGACGGGGGCCCGCACAAGCGGUGGAGCAUGUGGUUCAAUUCGAAGCAACGCGAAGAACCUUACCAACCUUUGACAUCCCGGUCGCGGGUACCAGAGAUGGAACCCUUCAGUUCGGCUGGACCGGAGACAGGUGCUGCAUGGCUGUCGUCAGCUCGUGUCGUGAGAUGUUGGGUUAAGUCCCGCAACGAGCGCAACCCUCGCCCUUAGUUGCCAUCAUUCAGUUGGGCACUCUAAGGGGACUGCCGGUGAUAAGCCGCGAGGAAGGUGGGGAUGACGUCAAGUCCUCAUGGACCUUACAGGUUGGGCUACACACGUGCUACAAUGGCGGUGACAGUGGGAUGCAAUGGAGCAAUCCUGCGCAAAUCUCAAAAAGCCGUCUCAGUUCGGAUUGGGGUCUGCAACUCGACCCCAUGAAGUCGGAAUCGCUAGUAAUCGUAGAUCAGCACGCUACGGUGAAUACGUUCCCGGGCCUUGCACACACCGCCCGU